rnacentral:rRNA from 1 species
UACGGAGGAUGCAAGCGUUAUCCGGAUUUAUUGGGCGUAAAGCGUCCGCAGGUGGCUAUACAAGUCUGCUGUUAAAGCGUGGGGCUUAACUCCAUACAGGCAGUGGAAACUGUAAAGCUAGGGUCUGGUAGGGGUCACGGGAAUUCCCAGUGUAGCGGUGAAAUGCGUAGAUAUUGGGAAGAACACCAGCGGCGAAAGCGCGUGACUGGGCCGGAACUGACACUCAUGGACGAAAGCUAGGGGAGCGAAAGGG